rnacentral:lncRNA from 1 species
AUAUUUUUGAGUCUCUAAAUUUUUAUCUAUUGUUAAAAAAUUAGCUUUUAUAUAGAUUUUAAGUGUAGCAUUAGUUUUAUUAAUAGAUGAAGGAGUAGACAAGCAGGUGCGUUGGUAUAUAUACAAAGCUACAACAUGUUUGAAUAAAAACGGGUGUUAAAAAAAAAAACAGAGACUCAGGGGCGGUGCGAGAGAAAAGAGAAAAAGGGGGCUAGGGUUUUGAUCUCUGAAACUCCAAUCAAUAUACAAUCGCAUCUGGAGGUGAAGGUUGAAGUCAUUCAUCGCGUGUUUAUAUACAUGUAUGCAUCCGUUUGUGUUUGCGUGGGUUGCCUUCGGAGGUUGGUUUGAUGGGAGUUUGAUGGGUCGAGGCGGCGCUGUUGUCGCUCGAGUGGUGACCAGAUGGUGGUGCAGCGGCGGCAAGGACGCCGUUGGUUGCAAACAAAGAGGGUUUGAAGGGCGGCUGUUGACUGGUAGCCGAAGGUGGGUUUAAUAACAGAAGUCGCGUCGGAGAACAGCAGCCUGGCAGCCGUUCAAAACAAAGGGGGUUGUUGUGAGGUUGAUUUCUGACAAUUGAAGAAGGGGAGAGCGAGAUGGGUAUGGCGGUAGCUGGAGCUUCGUGGUAACCGGAAACGAAAGGAGAUGGAGGUUUGUCCGGCGGCAAAGGGUUGUUUACUGGAGGAAUGAGAUGUGAGGGUUGGUGUUUGUGUUGGUCUGUUUUUGAGUGAGUUUUUGUAUGAUCGUAUACAGAGUUGUGUAGUCAUAGAUGCUUAUGGUUGAUUGUUUGGGCGCUGAUUUAGGAGGCAGAUUAAGGAAGGGUGUUGGCGGCUAGAUGGAGGGCUGCUUGGUGAGAUAAAACAGAUGGGGGAUUGGUACAGGGGCUGUUAAUUGCUGAUGGGUUAGAACAGAGCAGGUUGGGGAAGACGAGGUGGGGUGUAUUGUUGAUUGCUGCAGAUCGGAGUUCAUGACUAUCGGCUGAACAGUGGUGGUGAGACCAGGGGAAAACAAGGGAGAGAGCGGGGUUGGUUGGGAACCGCCAAAGUCGAUGGAUUGUGGUGAUAGUUUGUGAAUUUACAGGCCAUAGUAUAUGUGUUGUUGAGACUAUUGUCGGUGAUUUAGAUAGUAGUACUUGGUAUGAGGGUGAUAUGGAGGUGUUUGCGGGGUGGUAGUUGUUUGCACUGGUGCCGCUGGUAGUAUUUGUGGCUUGUGUGUUCUAUGAGUUCAUAUGUGUUCCGAUAAUGUUGGAGAGGUUAUUACAACAAGAGAUGGUUGAUUGUUGGUAUGUGGUGUUAGAAGUGAAACUAGUAGUAGCUGGGGAUAUAAGGUGGAGGUUAACAAAAUUGGCCGGAAAAUGAAAUUGUCUUGGGGUUGCAGGAAAGGGGACAACAGGAGUGGUGAUAAAAUUGUUGUUAAGGGUGAUGUUCUGUGUUGGUGCUAAUUAAAAAUAAGGGAGUUACAGUGAGGGUUGCGGGACAGGAAAUGGUCAAAAAUCCGGCUAUGGCUUACUGACCCGAACCAGAUAGGCGGAGAGAUAGAUAUUUUAUUAAUUAAUUAUGUAUUAUUGAAUUAUUUUUAAUAUCGGUAUUAUUAUUAUUAUCAGUUCAAUGGAUAAUAAUAAUAUAAUUGAUAUUUUUAAUAAUCUUGAUGAUUAAUAAUUGAUUAAAUUAAAUUCUAUUUCUAUUUCGAAUAAUAGCACAUAAAGGUAGUUAGUUGAGUUUGAAUUGUUUGGAUUAUAAUUCUAUCUGGAUUUGAGAUUAUUAUGGAUAAUGCUACGUGCGUUAUAAAUAGAUGAAUUUGAGUAGGUGCAAUGUUCUAAGGUUCUGCAUUUAGAAUUUAAAUUCGAAUAUUCGAAUAGUUGAAUGGCUGUUGAAACUUCAAUUUGUAUUAUUCUUAAGAUAAUACGUGAUUAUUGUAACUAAUUUCCGGACUUUAUUUUAUUAGAAUCUUGUGACGAUUGCUAUAAGUUUUAUUAAAAUUCUGGAAAUUAUUGUUAAUUGUCGGAUCUGAUUAUUAUUUGAACCGCAUGGCGUUUGCUCGAUUUUAAAAGAAGUGCUGUCCAAAUUCUAAUUGAUUAUUAUUUUAUUUUGAUUAUAUUUUGAGUUGAUUUGAGAUGUGAGUUGGAUUACAAUUGGACUUGUAAUUUGGAUUUGGAUUAUAUCCAAGGGUAUACUUUUGAUGUGCUUAGUGUUUUGUAUAUAAUCAAAUAUAAGAUUAUAUACAGAAUUACUAGAUUAUAUUUAUAUUUAUAUAAAUAUUAAAGCAUGUAAAUUAUUUGAUACGUGCUUAUGUGACUACGUGUUCAACUGUUUGACAUAAUGUGUAUAUAUAUUAUUUGUAUAUAAUAUUUUUAUAUUGCGAAGGGUAGUAAUAUAAUUUCGAUUCUGCAAGUUCAACGACGCUUUGGAUUAUUCUUCAACUGAAGUAUUGCAUGCUGUCAUAUAUAGUUUAUCGAGAAGCGUGCAUCAACGACUUUCAGAAGCAAGCCGAUAUUGUUGCAAGUCAAGUCAGAAUAGUUUGAUAAGGCCAGUUGUGCCGUAAGAUAGUCCAGUAGAGAGUAGUCAUUGCAGAGAUUAGCAAAGUUGAGGCCAAUAUAGGAAUCUCGAGUAGAGUGACUGUGUGUCACCGGUUUUCUAUCAGAGGCAAGUAUUCCUAUUCUUCUCUUUUAUUUAAAGAGCAAAUAUUUCAAUUCCUCUUUUCAUAAAGAAAGUUUUAUAAUUAUGACUUGUAUUUCUUGCAAGCAUGACUAUCCAUUUCUGAUAUGAAAAGUACAAAUGCUUUAAUCUUUAUCCUGUGAUUAAAUUAUCGAAUAUCUUUAGUUCGAUACUUUUUACUGUUAUAUGAGCAGUGGCAACUUUAUUUGAAAAGCAUUCUGAUUAUUUUUAAUCAGUUUUCUGGAAAUUAUUGUCUGAGUUACUUUUCAGUUUGGAACCAUUGAUUACACUAUAGUAGUCAUAUUUCGAUACUACAAUAUAUGCCUGGUCUUCUGUCCCAGACAUAAACCCUGGAUUUUAAAUAGCGAAAAUAACUUUAUUAAUUCCCUUGUGCCGUAUUGCGGUGAACUUCAAAACUAUACUCAGACUUUGUAAAAUUGGUUUUGACAGUAUUUUGAGAUUGAAAACAAAAGAGUUUUCAGAAAAGUUUUGAAAGGAUGAUUUUAUGGCGUAUGGGGCUAUUUAAUAGUCCAGCCAGAUAGACCAGCAAAAUAUUGUUUUGAGAACAGGUGUUAAUCAUCUGCUUCCGGAAGAAAUCGGAAGAUUUCUUUGUUUUUGCAUAGGUGGCCGGGACGGCGGUCCAGCGAAGGGCUAGGUAUUAUAUGAAAUAUGUAUAAUACCAUUUCUGCCAAAGGCCAAUGUGUUGCCUUCUGUUUGGUACCUAUUGUUUGGAUCUGCUUCUACGAAGCAUGAUUCGGUGCUAUCACUGGAUUUCCUGAUCAGCUGUGGUAGUACGUCCGUUGUUUAAAACCUGGUCAUAAUUAUUUAAGCUUAUGAUAGCUUAUGUUUAUUGUCAAAUUUAUCUUGUGAUUUUCGAGCAUAUUGAUUUAUAUGUUUGAUAAACUUUUGAGUGACAAAUAUUUAGAUUAUUUCAAAAGUUUACUUUAUUUCAAAUACUCUGAUUUAAUUCAAAAGAAAUUAUAUCUUGUGGCUCUUGCCUUUUAAAUUAUCUUGCUGAGCAUUUUCGCUCACCCUUGCUAUUAUUUCUAACUCUUUCAGUUAGGGAUUGAGAUGGUUACCUGUAUAAGCUGCGCGUAAGAUUGAUGCUAGGCGAGAUGGCCAGGAAGAUAUCUG